rnacentral:rRNA from 1 species
CCUACGGGAGGCUGCAGUGGGGAAUAUUGGACAAUGGGGGGAACCCUGAUCCAGCCAUGCCGCGUGUGUGAAGAAGGCCCUCGGGUUGUAAAGCACUUUCAGUGAGGAAGAACGCCUGGUGGUUAAUACCCACCAGGAAAGACAUCACUCACAGAAGAAGCACCGGCUAACUCCGUGCCAGCAGCCGCGGUAAUACGGAGGGUGCGAGCGUUAAUCGGAAUUACUGGGCGUAAAGCGCGCGUAGGUGGCUUGAUAAGCCGGUUGUGAAAGCCCCGGGCUCAACCUGGGAACGGCAUCCGGAACUGUCAAGCUAGAGUGCAGGAGAGGAAGGUAGAAUUCCCGGUGUAGCGGUGAAAUGCGUAGAGAUCGGGAGGAAUACCAGUGGCGAAGGCGGCCUUCUGGACUGACACUGACACUGAGGUGCGAAAGCGUGGGUAGCAAACAGGAUUAGAUACCCUAGUAGUC